UACGUAGGGGGCUAGCGUUGUCCGGAUUUAUUGGGCGUAAAGAGCGUGUAGGCGGCCUGGUAGGUCUGCUGUGAAAACUCGAGGCUCAACCUCGAGAUGUCGGCGGAAACCAUCUGGCUAGAGUCCGGAAGAGGAGAGUGGAACUCCUGGUGUAGCGGUGAAAUGCGCAGAUAUCAGGAAGAACACCUAUGGCGAAGGCAGCUCUCUGGGACGGUACUGACGCUGAGACGCGAAAGCGUGGGGAGCGAACAGG
rnacentral:rRNA from 1 species